UACGUAGGGACCAAGCGUUGUUCGGAUUUACUGGGCGUAAAGGGCGCGUAGGCGGCUUGACAAGUCACUUGUGAAAUCUCUGGGCUUAACCCAGAACGGCCAAGUGAUACUGUCGUGCUAGAGUGCAGAAGGGGCAAUCGGAAUUCUUGGUGUAGCGGUGAAAUGCGUAGAUAUCAAGAGGAACACCAGAGGUGAAGACGGGUUGCUGGGCUGACACUGACGCUGAGGCGCGAAAGCCAGGGGAGCAAACGGG
rnacentral:rRNA from 1 species